AUGCAACAAGGACAUCCGGUAGCGUAUCUAAGCAAAGCCCUGGCACCCAAGAACCUGGGAUUAUCAGCCUAUGAGAAGGAAUGCCUGGCUUUGCUUCUCGCGGUCGAUCAUUGGCGGCCUUACCUUCAACAUGCAGAAUUCAUCGUGCGUACGGACCAGAAGAGCUUGUUGCACCUCACGGACCAAAGGCUCAACACACCAAUUCAGCAACGAGCCUUCACCAAGCUCAUAGGCCUGCAGUUCGUGAUCCAAUACAAGGCGGGGCUCUCCAACCUUGCAGCAGAUGCGCUGUCGAGGAAA
rnacentral:rRNA from 1 species